UACGGAAUGUGCAAACGUUAUUCGGAAUCACUGGGCUUAAAGAGUCCGUAGGCGGCUUGUUAGGUGAGGUGUGAAAUCCCUCGGCCCAACCGAGGAAUUGCGCUUCAAACCGGCAAGCUAGAGGAGGAUAGAGGUGGGCGGAACUGAUGGUGGAGCGGUGAAAUGCGUUGAUAUCAUCAGGAACACCGGAGGCGAAGGCGGUCCACUGGGUCCUUUCUGACGCUGAGGGACGAAAGCGUGGGGAGCGAACAGG
rnacentral:rRNA from 1 species